ACGUUGAUAGUAUAAUUUGAGUAUGUCGUCUUUCCAAGUCGGAGGUCUAUAAACUUUAGUCAUCGUA
rnacentral:tRNA from 1 species